AUGCUUCUCGCCAGAGGCAUGAUUUUAAUUCAGAUCAAUACAAAUGUGGGUGUAGGAGGAUGUUCUCCAAAAUAGUGUAUAUGGAUGCUCAUUCACACAUGAAAAAAUGAGAGUAGCGUGCAAAUACCUCACAUGUUCAUUCAGCACCUUAAGCGGUGAUUUCCCUCCCACCCGACGCCUCAUACGUCAAAUUCAUUCAGUCUAAUGAUCGCCGGUGAAAGCUGGACUGAUUGUUCUAAGGGCUCCCCCUCAUUACCUAUCCCCACACUGAUUUCUACCGCACACGCCAGUUUUGGCACGCAUGUAGCGCUGUUAACACGCUGCCUUCUCCAUGUAUCACAAAAGUAAUUGGCUUUUUAGUGAUUCUGAUCAUAAUUUACUCAAAGCGAGGCGAAAAAAAUAUAUGAAAAAAAUACGCAGCCUUGCUUGUGAUUACAUUUUUCAUGCCCAAAGAGAAAUUGGGGAAAGUGGCGAAAGUGUUUCAGCUCACUUGCUUUCAUAAUUCAACGGAAAAAACAGCAGCGGAGGAAAAAAUAAGUACACGAGGCAGACAUGCUCAGAACACUUAAGGUGGAAUUUAAGGAAUAACUCAGCCUCACUUUUAUAAAUUUUUCCCUUUUGGAUAUUUUUCUGUUUGAUGUCUGCAAAAUGUCCUUGAAUAUUCGUCAGUGCGAACCAGGCUCGCUGCUGAUGAGAUCUCGCCUCUUUUGAUGAGUCAAGAGCGAAGUGUGUGUUUGUGCGCGCCCAAGCGUGUGUGCAUGUGUGUGCGCUAUCUGGCCUAGUUACAUCCCAACAAACAGCUCACCUUAACUCAGCAGAGCUACAACACCCAAACCUCAGACAGAAUUAAACAUGCAUGCCAAGUGGCGCACUCUGCCUGUCACGUAUUUGAGCAUAUUUCCCUGAUUGCUCUGCAAGAUCGGUACAGGCUCAAAGCCCUCUUUUAUUAUUAUUUUUUUCCCUUAUACCCUCCCUUGCAGCUUAAGCUGGCUGGCAGUCAGCCUGCGCACAUUAACACUUACAAACACACUCAAAUAGAGACAGGCACAUGCAGACGCCAGCGCGCACACACUUCUAAAGAGCUGCAGGAAGGCAGAGGCCGAUCACAUCAUGCAAAUCGCUGUCGCUCGUCGGGACGUGCGCGGCAUCAGAAAAGAAAGGAGAAGAGGGGAGAGCAGGGGAGAGGAAGGACUCUGAGGCUGCCGCCAUGUUUUUUUUUUUUUUAAGAGGCUUUUGUGUUCUUGACCCCCUCCGGUUUCUUUUUCACGCCUGCCUGGUCAUGGUGACAGAGUGUAUGACAUGCCGUCGGACACCGAAUAGGUCAACAAGAUAAGCAUAUGGCCUUUGGGAUAAUAGGGACGGAGGCAAAUAUGUAUGUCUGCUUGUGUACGCGUGCCUCACCUUAAAAUUUCUCCUCCCUCUCUGCUGGUCAUCGGCUACAGGUGGCGAGCAAGGUGACACGGCAUCUUGUUGUCGGAACACGAGCCGGCCAUAUGCCUCCGCUUGUGAGAAAAGCUGUUUUCCCUGUUAGGCGAGCAUAUGUCGGUGCCAAAAGUUGCUGCUACAACAACGGACUUGUUUACUUUAUUGUUGUCAGCGUUUGGUCUCUUCAUCCACCGACAUAUGGUUGGGUGACUGUGCAGAAUGAAAGAAUAGGGAAAGUUUUUACCUCCAGAUCCAUCAAGGCAGAUGCUGUUUUUUAAUUUCUGUGAUUUAGAAACUUGGUUAAAAUAAAACUACAAAAAAAAUUCUCCCCUGACUUUUCCUAAAUUGUUAUAGAUUUUUCUUCUUGUGUUGCUUUCCUAUCCGUUUAGAAGAACAGUAAGUCAUUUUAGUAUCUGCAAGCUCUCCUGCCCUUGAAGAUGUGCAAGAGCAAGAAUGAGCAAAAAAGCAUUAAAAACCCAUCAGAUUUCCUACUUUCUUAUUUUAUUUCAGAGCGAAAACGAACUUCAGCUGUAAUUAUCCCAAAACAACCCCGGGCCAACUUGGAGGAUAUUUGCAUGCUCUUUCACAAAUACAUUUUUAAUAUCCAAGAGUAUUUUUCAUGGCAAAUAAUGUUUCCUAAAUCAGUUUAUUGCACUGAGUUUAGCAGAAUUGCUACAGGUCCUAUUCAUUCAGAGAAUCUGCAGCCUCUUAGUUUCCAACCUCAUUAUCUAUGCGGUGAUCUGAGUGGGCGGGGUUUUCUGUGAUGAUGACAAGCUACUGCACUGAUUAGCUGCUCAAAUAUCCUCUUAGGGGGGGAGUUAGUGCACAUCGUAAGAGCAGAAAAUGCCAUUACAAGCUCCGCCUACUGACUUGCUCUGUUGAUGCUACCUGGGACUGACAGUGCCCUAUAACUUGGGUCCACCCCCAAAUAUGGGGGACAUAUGCCAUGACAACAUAAAGGUUAUUAAGUGGCACAGGAACAGCGGGUCAGCUCUGUAGAGAGUGACUGGAAAGAGGGCAGAACGGGCCAAGUCAGUGACUCAAACCCACCUGUUUAGACUGUUUUGCAUAUUAUCUAUCAUUCUGUUAAAGACACACUAAUUAAGUUUUGUACGAACUAUCUGUGUCUGGUGAAAGUGUUAAUUACACAGAUCAAAAAAGAAUUAACAUAUUCACAAAGAAAACCAAAAAAGUGACAGACUUUUCUGUCUGCUUUUCGUUUCAACUUGGGGAAAACAGUCCCCAUCUGAAAGAUUUAGAUAUCAACAACCCUCCUCCUGGUAAAGUAGUAAAAUAUGCCAUCUGUUCCCACAUUACUAACAUACAAAAGCAGUGAAGCUUAAGCAGCUAAUUUAUCCAAAAUGUUGGUCUUGCAGCCUGGGAAUUAAAUUCACA